GUAAUGGAAUUGAGGCCUACUGUGGACAGUCUGGAUCCGUCCCAAGAAUCGGACACGUCGGGGAGUGAAACCCCUGCGGUUUUCUCCCCCCAAACAAGUCCUGCUCCAACGCCGGCUGAGGACCCGGAGGACUCCACACUGGCCCAGGCCCCUCUACCACUGGCCAGUCCACCCCGGAUUGUCCAGCCCCAGCCCAGACGUCGCCGCCAAGUCCCUCCCUCUACCUCUGGGCAAGAGAGUCGGGAAGUUAUUGACGCCUGCGUCAUCGAUUUUCUUGCCCAGAGAAGGAGUGAUGGCAAGGAGGAGAAGCU